ACGCUCGACACCUACGGGAGCAGCAGUGGGGAAUAUUGCACAAUGGGGGAAACCCUGAUGCAGCGACGCCGCGUGAGUGAAGAAGUAAUUCGUUAUGUAAAGCUCUAUCAGCAGGGAAGAAAGUGACGGUACCUGAGUAAGAAGCCCCGGCUAACUACGUGCCACAGCCGCGGUAAUCUGAGCGGGCUGGCAAGGC
rnacentral:rRNA from 1 species